UCCUGGAGGACUAGUGGUUAGGCUUCGGUGCUCUCAUCGCCACGGCCCGGGUUUGAUUCCCGGUCAGGGAA